ACCGCGCCUAGCUCGACGGGGCGAAAGCGGAGCACCCUACUCCGUUGGCGCGGCUCCCGCCAAGGGU
rnacentral:ncRNA from 1 species